UACGUAGGUGGCGAGCGUUAUCCGGAAUUACUGGGCGUAAAGCGCGAGCAGGCGGUCUUUUAAGUUUGACGUAAAAUCUCCUGGCUUAACUGGGAGGGGUCGUUGAAGACUGGGAGGCUUGAGGCGAUGAGAGGGGUGUGGAAUUCCCGGUGUAGUGGUGGAAUGCGUAGAUAUCGGGAGGAACACCAGAGGCGAAAGCGGCACCCUGGCAUUGGCCUGACGCUGAGAUGCGAAAGCGUGGGGAGCGAACGGG
rnacentral:rRNA from 1 species